GUGAAGCCAAGGCCGACUAAAUUCAAUAUUUAAUAAUAAAAUGCAAAAAGGCACAGGAAACUGUGCCUUUUUG
rnacentral:sRNA from 1 species